GAAUUUAUUAAUAUUUCAAAAAUUAAGAAGUAAAAGAUUUAAAAAAUAAUUUCAUUUACCUAACCAGUUCUAAUAAUUAUGACUAUUUGAACAAUUAUCUAUUUCAAAUCAUUAUGACCCUCGGUUUUGUCAUAAAAAAAUGUUUUUAUUCUUAUAAGUUUGUUUGAAAUAAAAUAAUGUUAAUCUAUUAAUAUUCCAAAAAUUAAUAAGAGAUUUAAAAAAUAAAUCUUUUUAUCAAAUCAGUUCAA
rnacentral:lncRNA from 1 species